CUGUUUGGUUCAAAUAGUGGAGCGGUAACGUAAAUGUAAUCAGAUCCCACUACUAGCGAUUAUUACUGUGUAAUGAUUAACGCCUUUUGUUUGGUUGCCAGGUGGUAACGUCUUCCGAUUUUCUUGAAUUCUCACGAAUUGGGAGAAGAUGCUCUCGGGGCCGAGCAAGUAGUUGGCGGAGGCGUUGACGGCGAGGGCAUCCACGAGGCUCGGUACUCCCCAAGGCCUUGGCGAGCACUGCCAUAGGAGCAGCAGCACCCUGGAGUCCAGCGGCGACG
rnacentral:lncRNA from 1 species